AGAAGCAAGGAAUGAAGGCCCUAUCUCUUUGGGUGAUUAGCCUUUGCUUAUGCAAAGAUGAAUCUACAAAGGUAUUAAUUUCAACUCACUUUGUUUUGAGUUGAUUAUUGGUUCACCAAUCUACUAGGCUUUGAAUUUCUUGGUUAAUGUUUUGUUUUUAAGUGCAUGCUAGCAUGAUUCCGCCUUUAAUUGUUAAUUGCAUGCUAUAUGAUGUUGCUUAAAUGAACAUGUUUUCCCAAAAGAUUUCCUUCACUUCGAGGUAUCAUCUUCACUUCCCUUAUACGUGAGAGACGAAGAGGAAACAUAAGAUGAUGAGUACUCGAGAGCAAGUGCUGGCUGGAGAAAGGACAACAGGGAGAAAGCAUGAUAUGAGAUACUCUUGCUUUCAACCUUUAUGAUAUGAAAUACUUUUGCUUUGGAUGGGUUGUUUGCAGGGGUAUCCCAGGGGAUGAAAAAUACAGAGUGACUUGAGAGGGUUUGUUGGAAAGCCAUUUCAGAGAGGAAGAAGUGCUGAGAGGGUGUGCCUUUGCUGUGGAAGGCGAAGGUAGAUACUUAUGGGACUUUUCUUCACAACCGGAACUAUUCCCUCACUCAUUGUCGACAGCCGGUGGAUGGAUGAAUAGUACAAAUUACGCGCUUUCUGACAAAGCUGCCAGUAAUUUCCGCAAAGCAGAUUCCUCAUUGAUAUCUGGAAUCGGCGCUUCGAGCUCUGAGCAUCGUCGAUUGUAGAGGUAGCAUGUGACACGUGCGGAUAAAUCUGGAAAAGAAGAUUUGCCCGUGGGUUAAAGCCCAGCUUUUGAGAAAGCUAGCGUGUCUUUG
rnacentral:lncRNA from 1 species